UUUAAUUGAAGAGUUUGAUCAUGGCUCAGAUUGAACGCUGGCGGCAGGCCUAACACAUGCAAGUCGGGCGGUAACAGGAGAAAGCUUGCUUUCUUGCUGACGAGCGGCGGACGGG
rnacentral:rRNA from 1 species